AUGAGUGACCUCUUUUGGAACUGCCGGGGGGCGGGGAACCGCCGGACAGUUCGUGAAGUUGGGGCUCUUGUAAAAGCCCAUUCCCCAAGCUUGUUCUUUCUCGCUGAAACGAGACAGACAAGUGUUAAAGUUGAAAGAAUGAAGUGGAAAUUAUGUCUCAAAGGAUUCUGCGGGGUGGAUUGUGAAGGCCGAGGCGGUGGACUAGCGCUGUUUUGGGAUGAAUCC
rnacentral:rRNA from 1 species